rnacentral:rRNA from 1 species
UACGUAGGGUGCGAGCGUUGUCCGGAAUUACUGGGCGUAAAGAGCUCGUAGGUGGUUUGUCGCGUUGUUCGUGAAAACCGGAGGCUCAACCUCUGGCGUGCGGGCGAUACGGGCAGACUUGAGUACUGCAGGGGAGACUGGAAUUCCUGGUGUAGCGGUGGAAUGCGCAGAUAUCAGGAGGAACACCGAUGGCGAAGGCAGGUCUCUGGGCCACUACUGACGCUGAGAAGCGAAAGCAUGGGGAGCGAACAGG